rnacentral:rRNA from 1 species
GGGCGGGUUUCCGGAUUACUGGGCGUAAGAGUUGCGUAGGUUGCAUGGCAAGUAGAUAGUGAAGGCGUUCGGCUCAACCGAAUAUCCAUUAUCUAAACUGCCAAGCUAGAGGAUGAGAGAGGUUAUUGGAAUUCCCUGUGUAGGAGUGAAAUCCGUAGAUAUAGGGAGGAACACCGAUGGCGUAGGCAGAUAACUGGCUCAUUCCUGACACUAAGGCACGAAAGCGUGGGGAGCAAACGGGAUUAGAUACCCCGGUAGUCCACGCCGUAAACUAUGGAUGCUAGCUGUUAGAGGUAUCGACCCCUCUAGUAGCGAAGCUAACGCGUUAAGCAUCCCGCCUGUGGAGUACGAGCGCAAGCUUAAAACAUAAAGGAAUUGACGGGGACCCGCACAAGCGGUGGAGCGUGUUGCUUAAUUCGAUGGUAAGCGAAGAACCUUACCCAGGCUUGACAUCCUGCCAAUUUCUCCGAAAGGAGAGAGUGCCUUCGGGCCGCAGUGACAGGUGAUGCAUGGCCGUCUUCAGCUCGUGUCGUGAGAUGUUUGGUUAAGUCCAUCAACGAGCGCAACCCUUAUAGUUAGUUGUAUUUUUCUAGCUAGACUGCCCUGGCAACAGGGAGGAAGGAGGGGAUGAUGUCAGGUCAGUAUUUCCCUUACGUCUGGGGCUGCAAACACGCUACAAUGGCCAGUACAAAGGGCAGCCAAGUCGCGAGACGGAGCAAAUCCCAACAAAGCUGGUCUCAGUUCGGAUAGCAGGCUGAAACUCGCCUGCUUGAAGCCGGAAUCGCUAGUAACGGUAGGUCAGCACACUACCGUGAAUACGUUCCCGGGUCUUGUACACACCGCCCGUCAAACCAUGAAAGUCGCCAAUACCUGACGUCUUAGCUAGCCUAGGCCUAAGGUAGGGGAGAUGAUUGGGGUUAAA